AUUGAACGCUGGCGGCAGGCCUAACACAUGCAAGUCGAACGAGUGGCGGACGGGUGAGUAAUGUCUGGGAAACUGCCUGAUGGCGGGGGAUAACUACUGGGAACGGUAGCUAAUACCGCAUCCCAUCGGAUGUGCCCAGAUGGGAUUGGCUAGUUGGGGGGGUAAAGGCUCACCUAGGCGACGAUCCCUAGCUGGUCUGAGAGGAUGACCAGCCAAACUGGAACGGAGCAACGGUCAAGACUCCGACGGGAGGAAGCAGUGGGGAAUAUUGGACAAUGGGCGAAAGCCUGAGGCAGCCAUGCCGCGUGGAUGAAGAAGGCCUUCGGGUUGUAAAGUACUUUCAGCGGGGAGGCGUUACCGGCAGAAGAAGCACCGGCUAACUCCGUGCCAGCAGCCGCGGUAAUUC
rnacentral:rRNA from 1 species